ACAGCCCUCCAGCAUUACUCAGAGUUGCCUGAUAUCAAGCGUGCCAUUGUAAAUACCCAUGUCAUUGAACCACAGACACUUGUUGAGUUCUUUGGCACAUUGUCAAGAGAGUGGGCUUUGGAAUGCAUGAAAGACCUUCUACUGGUUAAUCUGAGGGGAAAUCUUCAGAUU